rnacentral:lncRNA from 1 species
AUUUUCAACUAUUAGCCCCCAGGGCACAUCUCCAAGUGGUAAAAAGGGAAGGUGGAGAAAUCCAGUUUUGCUUGAGACUGUCGCGUCAAGGGUUCGAAUCCUGAGAUAUGGAUUUGGCUCUUCGAUAAGUACAAGCAGCUUUCCACCUUGUACCUUUGGAGGCAUAAUCUGCGAUUUACCUCCCUCACGCUACUCCAAAACAGAGGCGAUGCGGAACUCUUAAGGUUGGGGUUUAACCUUUAUUUUCAACUGUUAAGCUUCUCAUCCCGAUUUAAAAGGGUCCAAAUGCAUGUGCCCUCAAAAAAUGUCAGAAAAGCCUGCAGAUUCUCCUCAUUUUAAACAGCGAAAGUGAAGGAUGUCAGGCAGAAAACGGGCAAGAAUUGGGCCCAAACAGGUGCCAAGUCUAAUUUCCUCGUUCCUUCUUCUAUUGACUUUUCCCAGUCUUCUGCGAGAAGAAAUUAGCUUUUUAUCCAUGACUAAUUUUAUUAGAACAUAGACUCUGAUAUAAUGUUGAAAUAGA